UCUAAAUAUAACCUGUUCAAUUUAUAUAAUGCUACUUGUGGCCUGACUGCUUGCAGCCAAUUCUCUGGAGGAAGAUCACAUCUCCAACCCCCAGCUUUCCUCACUUGCCUGUCUUUCUCCUAUGACUGCUCUUCCCAAGAACACUGGCAGCCGAAAUUCUUCAAAAGGCAUUUUAAAAUAGAACAGCUAUGUGAUUAAUUGUAGGCUGUUUGUGAUUCUUGCAAAGUCUAACAUCCAGCUUUGUUUCAUUUAUUGGAACCCUGUGAUAAAUUGUCUGAAGAUACAUGAAUCUAGGAGUCACGAAUACUGCAGAGAAAAAGGCAAGAGAAGACUGUGGAAACUCCAUGAGAGGGAACACCAACUGCUGUAUAGGACAUGGUAUUGUAACCAUGACCACAAUCCAGAUGUGAUUGCCUGAAUAGACUCUGAAAAGUAAAUGAAUUUGAAGAGGUACGAAAGAGUAUGGGAAGAGCUACCUGGGAAGACAAAAAGAGAUCAGCAUGACUGGAAGAUGGGAAUGCCUUCAUAGUGCAUUAUAUUCAGUUGUGUUGCCAACAAAUUAAACAAGUGACAAGUAUCUUUGAAUCUAGCUCUUAGUAGUGUAAAUUACUUGAGUUUUCCCCAAGAAACAAAUGUUUCUGCAUGGAAAAAAAAUGAAGAAAUUAUCUUCCUAAAUAAUUCAGGAGAAAUGUCAAGAGGAAUAGAAUUUCUCAGUUGAGAAGCUUCAGACAAAAUGUUAUAAAGUGAGAAGUUGUUGGAGAUGGCAAGGAGGAGUUUGCAAGACGACAACUCCAAUAAGCUCUAUGCACGCAGCCUGAGGACAUUCAUCAUGCAAGCAAAUUCAGUGAUGGCAGUCUCCUUGUUAGAGGAUUCUUUACGGCUUUAUAUUUUGAGCUCCAAUCCACUUGGUAAAUGACCUAACCUUUAAGUGGCAAGAAGUGAUGCUUGUUUUACUUUAGAUGGAUGCUUCCCAGGAGAAAAUCACAUAGAGAAGAGGUAACUAUCAAUAACCUUCAGACUCAUAAUUUGACUUUUGGAUUAUUGGCUUUAGUUUAGUGAUUCAAAGUCAUGUUUUGUUUCAGGAAAGACAACGACGUGAUUAAUGUACUCAGGAUAGGAAUCUAGAUUUAUGGAGAAGAAAAGGGCCUGUAAUAUAUUUAAUUUAUUAUUGUAUCGAGCACAAAUUUUGUAAGUGAAAUGGUUACAUUCUGUCACUUUCUUGUAGCUUUCUUAAAAAUAGAAUAUAGUAUUAACAGUGAUGUAGACACAACUGUAAUAUCAUCAAAGUUGGAUAAAUGAAGUAAUUGAGGCAGUAAGUAUGGGACUCUAGACUGUUAUGGCCAGGAACAAACAUCUGAAUAAUAAAUAUCAAAAGAAUG
rnacentral:sRNA from 1 species